CAGUCGCCGCGGUAAUACGGAGGGUGCAAGCGUUAAUCGGAAUUACUGGGCGUAAAGCGCACGCAGGCGGUCUGACAAGUCAGAUGUGAAAUCCCCGGGCUUAACCUGGGAACUGCAUUUGAAACUGUCUGGCUGGAGUCUUGUAGAGGGGGGUGGAAUUCCAGGUGUAGCGGUGAAAUGCGUAGAGAUCUGGAGGAAUACCGGUGGCGAAGGCGGCCCCCUGGACAAAGACUGACGCUCAGGUGCGAAAGCGUGGGGAGCAAACAGGAUUAGAUACCCGCGUAGUCCCUGUCUCUUAUAC
rnacentral:rRNA from 1 species